CUGUUGUGUCUACUAAUAGACUUGCUUAGAGUUUCAUAUUGUAUGUUGUUAACAAUAUAAGUUCCCUGAAGGUAUUUAAUUUUAAUGGCAUAGUGCACCCACAAACACAUGAUACACACGUGAGCCGCAUCCAUAUAGAAUAUUGUGUACCUUGCCAGCAACUUAGGCGUUUACUCAUGUUCUGUUUCUUAAAGCCUCUAUUUAUAAUUGUGUAUGAGGCAUGGCUUAAUAGAACCAGCAAGAACUCAUGUAAAUCCAGGUUUAAAUUUAUUCUGUACUCGCAUUGACAUUUUUCUCGAUUCAUUAACUGUGCAGAUUAUAUAAAGUCUAUUAUCAAACUGGGCUUCUUCUUUUUUUUACUGAACGCGUAAAAAAAGUUGUGCAGAAGGCUUGGGAGGUUGAAAUUCUCGAUUGUUUGCUAUUUUAGAACACAUGCUGUAUGCAUUAAGAUUCUAGAAAUGGCAAGGGGAAUGUGAAAUGAAUGUUGCAUGAGAAUGAUGUGGGCUGAAGGCCAUUUUGUAUUCUCUUGC
rnacentral:lncRNA from 1 species